rnacentral:rRNA from 1 species
UACGGGGGGGGCAAGCGUUGUUCGGAAUUACUGGGCGUAAAGGGCGCGUAGGCGGACAUCUAAGUCAGGGGUGAAAUCCCAGGGCUCAACCCUGGAAUUGCCUUUGAUACUGGACGUCUCGAGUUCGGGAGAGGUGAGUGGAAUUCCGAGUGUAGAGGUGAAAUUCGUAGAUAUUCGGAGGAACACCAGAAGCGAAGGCGGCUCACUGGCCCGAUACUGACGCUGAGGCGCGAAAGCGUGGGGAGCAAACAGG